CCUACGGGAGGCAGCAGUGGGGAAUUUUGGACAAUGGGCGCAAGCCUGAUCCAGCCAUUCCGCGUGAGUGAAGAAGGCCUUCGGGUUGUAAAGCUCUUUCGCAAGAGAAGAAAACUUACUUUCUAAUAAAGAGUGAGGUUGACGGUAUCUUGAUAAGAAGCACCGGCUAACUACGUGCCAGCAGCCGCGGUAAUACGUAGGGUGCGAGCGUUAAUCGGAAUUACUGGGCGUAAAGCGUGCGCAGGCUGUUUUGUAAGUCAGAUGUGAAAUCCCCGAGCUCAACUUGGGAACUGCGUUUGAAACUACAAGACUAGAAUAUGUCAGAGGGGGGUAGAAUUCCACGUGUAGCAGUGAAAUGCGUAGAGAUGUGGAGGAAUACCAAUGGCGAAGGCAGCCCCCUGGGAUAAUAUUGACGCUCAUGCACGAAAGCGUGGGGAGCAAACAGGAUUAGAUACCCUGGUAGUCCACGCCCUAAACGAUGUCUACUAGUUGUUGGUGGAGUAAAAUCCAUGAGUAACGCAGCUAACGCGUGAAGUAGACCGCCUGGGGAAGUACGGUCGCAAGAUUAAAACUUCAAAGGAAUUGACGG
rnacentral:rRNA from 1 species